CAGUCGAGGGGUAUUGUUCUUCGGAAUGAGAGACCGGCGCACGGGUGCGUAACGCGUAUGCAAUCUACCUUUUACAGAGGGAUAGCCCAGAGAAAUUUGGAUUAAUACCUCAUAGUAUUAUGACUCGGCAUCGAGAUAUAAUUAAAGUCACAACGGUAAAAGAUGAGCAUGCGUCCCAUUAGCUAGUUGGUAAGGUAACGGCUUACCAAGGCUACGAUGGGUAGGGGUCCUGAGAGGGAGAUCCCCCACACUGGUACUGAGACACGGACCAGACUCCUACGGGAGGCAGCAGUGAGGAAUAUUGGACAAUGGGCGCAAGCCUGAUCCAGCCAUGCCGCGUGCAGGAUGACGGUCCUAUGGAUUGUAAACUGCUUUUGCACAGGAAGAAACAACAUUACGUGUAAUGUCUUGACGGUACUGUGAGAAUAAGGAUCGGCUAACUCCGUGCCAGCAGCCGCGGUAAUACGGAGGAUCCAAGCGUUAUCCGGAAUCAUUGGGUUUAAAGGGUCCGUAGGCGGUUUAGUAAGUCAGUGGUGAAAGCCCAUCGCUCAACGGUGGAACGGCCAUUGAUACUGCUAGACUUGAAUUAUUAGGAAGUAACUAGAAUAUGUAGUGUAGCGGUGAAAUGCUUAGAGAUUACAUGGAAUACCAAUUGCGAAGGCAGGUUACUACUAAUGGAUUGACGCUGAUGGACGAAAGCGUGGGUAGCGAACAGGAUUAGAUACCCUGGUAGUCCACGCCGUANACGAUGGAUACUAGCUGUUGGGAGCAAUCUCAGUGGCUAAGCGAAAGUGAUAAGUAUCCCACCUGGGGAGUACGUUCGCAAGAAUGAAAC
rnacentral:rRNA from 1 species